UGCAGUCGAGCGAAUGGAUUGAGAGCUUGCUCUCUUUAAGUUAGCGGCGGACGGGUGAGUAACACGUGGGUAACCUGCCCUUAAGACUGGGAUAACUCCGGGAAACCGGGGCUAAUACCGGAUAACAUUUUGAACUGCAUGGAUGUAAAUUGAAAGGCGGUUUCGGCUGUCCCUUAUGGAUGGACCCGCGUCGCAUUAGCUAGUUGGUGAGGUAACGGCUCACCAAGGCAACCAUGCAUAGCCAACCUGAGAGGGUGAUCGGCCACACUGGGACUGAGACACGGCCCAGACUCCUACGGGAGGCAGCAAUAGGGAAUCUUCCGCAAUGGACGAAAGUCUGACGGAGCAACGCCGCGUGAGUGAUGAAGGCUUUCGGGUCGUAAAACUCUGUUGUUAGGGAAGAACAAGUGCUAGUUGAAUAAGCUGGCACCUUGACGGUACCUAACCAGAAAGCCACGGCUAACUACGUGCCAGCAGCCGCGGUAAUACGUAGGUGGCAAGCGUUAUCCGGAAUUAUUGGGCGUAAAGCGCGCGCAGGUGGUUUCUUAAGUCUGAUGUGAAAGCCCACGGCUCAACCGUGGAGGGUCAUUGGAAACUGGGAGACUUGAGUGCAGAAAGGAAAGUGGAAUUCCAUGUGUAGCGGUGAAAUGCGUAGAGAUAUGGAGGAACACCAGUGGCGAAGGCGACUUUCUGGUCUG
rnacentral:rRNA from 1 species